CUAUCUGCUUGGCAGGGAAAAACCAUGACUACAAAGGGAGUUUUUCCAGGGCAAUGCUAUUCAUUGCACUUUGGAUAUGUUAACCCUGGGGUUUUUCCAAAUGUGGGAAACUUAGCUGCAUGGGAGC
rnacentral:snRNA from 1 species